UGAACGAAAGCCAAGGUGUGAAUCAUAAAGAAACACAUCCACAUGCUGGUGCCUUUACAGCACUCUGCAGCGAGCGAAGCAGAGCACCCUAGCCAGUGUUCUGCAUGCCGGCGGCGAUGCCCUUCAUGGUGAGGAUGAGCGUGUCCUCCAGCCCCGGCCCGUACUCGCUCGCCGGGUUGAGCUUCACAAUCCCGCGCGGCUGGUUCUCGUCGGCGAACUCCUUGGACAGCGGCGGCUGCGGCGUCACCUUGAAGUUCGGGUCCCUUAUCCUCUUCAGGGUGUAGGCCUGCCACACGUUAAGAAUGGUGAUGUAGGGGUCGCGCAGCCGCAGCUGCUGCUUCAGGCCGGGAUCGCUUUCAAGGAUUUCCUUGUGCCCAGCAACCUGCACAAAGAUGGUGAGUAGUCAGGAUUUCCUUGUGCCCAGCAAUCUGCACAAAGAUGAAAUUCAUUCAUAUGAGUUUUAAUUUAUUACCUGCAG
rnacentral:lncRNA from 1 species